AUAUCAGUUCAAAACUGACAUAGACUGAAUCACACACUCAAACACACACACGUGAGAGGAAAUUUAUAAAAGCUAGAGUUUUUUCAGCAAAUUACCAACGAAAAACACAGUGAAAAGGCCACCUAAAAGUCCAGGUAAAGCCAUGAAUUAUACGUACACCAAGAGAACAUUYUCUAGGCGUACAUGUAUCAAGAAACCAAUCGGUGAGUCAACACGACAUCCCCCUCCACCCUCCCAAAAAAUACUACAGCUAAUUAACGCUAAAAAGUGUUUAUUUUAUUAUCCUCUGUUAUGUUAUGAUUAACAGGGCUCCACUGCUAAACCCCUAACCUAUUAUGGUCUACUAGCGUAAUAACGGCAAGUCUUCUUACAUCCUCCUCCUCCACGUCGUCCGCAGGAUUUCAUACAUCUAAGGCUCCUCCCCGCCCCAUCUUUCUUCUUGCAGCAUUGGCUGUUUGAUGUACAGGGGCCAUAGGAGUUUGGAAGGCAAMCUCUUUUCUCGUAUACCAUUGCGCUUGACAGCCAGUCUUCAUCAAAUGCUCGGACGCUCAUCACACAUGCGACAAGGAUCAACACAAGAACAGUUUUCAUGAUUGUCGGCUUGCUAGCUGGUGACUGGAUAUAAAACAUUGCUAAGUAUUAAUAAAUAACCACAAACUU